CCAGGCUCCUGAACGGGAGUGAGAUUUUUUUUAAACCUGAUGUCACAUCCAGGACAAACAAGAGAAGUCCUUUUAACCAAAUAGGACUCCUAUAUAACAAGAGUCUUUGAGAAGAGAGUCGUAUGACCUAAGAUGUCCCCUCCAACUACUUUGGAAAAGACAGUUUCCAGAAGGUUCUGAAAUGCGUGGUUUCAGCAUCCACUGGGGAGCUUGGAAUGUACCUACAGCAGAGAGACAUCUAUCUGCACAUGUGCACAAGGUGAAGAUUGAAUGCAGCAUUGUCUGUCUUAGCAAAAGCUAAACACAACCCAAAUAUCCAGGGAUAGGAAAAUAACUCAAUAAACGUCGGCUUAUCCUUAUUAUGGAAUCCCACACAGCAGUUGCAGAUCUUCAUGUGUUGACGUGGAAAUGUCUCCAAGGCAUACUGCCAAGUGAAUGGACAGCAUGUUAACGUCUGUGCGCCACUCGGCCUCACAAAUAAAAACGAUUCAGCAUAUCUAUCUGUCUAUAUCUCACUUAGGUAUCUGAAAAUAUACGUACGUACAUUUCAAAAAAGGGUACGCAUUAACCAAUAAUAGUGGCUGUCUCUAUGAUGGCUAUAACAACUCGAUUGAAGCUGGUUAAUGAGGACUUUAGUCUUACCGGUUUUAAGGAAGUUUUCAACAAGAACAUGUUUGUUUACAAUAUGCGUAAUUUUAAAGUGUUUUAAAAAAUAACUGUGAAGAUUUCACUACACUAAUACUUACCAAGGCAUUAUUCGGUAGAGUGAAAAUUUGGAAAUAGCAUAAUUGUCCAACUACAAGGUAUUUAGUUAAAUAUAUUAGGGGAGAUCUCAUGAUACAUUACAACACAACCAUCAAAAUAAUAUUUAGAAGUCCAGUAAACAACCAAGAGGAAAUGUUCAGAAUAAUGAUCAAAAGAAAAAAGCAGAUUACGAAACAGAGUGC
rnacentral:lncRNA from 1 species